GCCACUGUGGUGUAGUGGUUUGAGUGUUGAACUAUGACUCUGGAGUGCAGGGUUCAAAUCCCUGCUCAGACA